GGGAUUCCCCUAGUAACGGCGAGUGAAGCGGGAACAGCUCAAAUUUGAAAUCUGGCCCUUGGGUCCGAGUUGUAAUUUGCAGAGGAUGCUUUUGGUGCGGUGCCUUCCGAGUUCCCUGGAACGGGACGCCUUAGAGGGUGAGAGCCCCGUACGGUUGGACACCAAGCCUAUGUAAAGCUCCUUCGACGAGUCGAGUAGUUUGGGAAUGCUGCUCAAAAUGGGAGGUAUAUUUCUUCUAAAGCUAAAUAUUGGCCAGAGACCGAUAGCGCACAAGUAGAGUGAUCGAAAGAUGAAAAGCACUUUGAAAAGAGGGUUAAAUAGCACGUGAAAUUGUUGAAAGGGAAGGAUUUAUGACCAGACUUUUUCUAGGGGGAUCAUCCGGUGUUCUCACCGGUGCACUUCCCCUAGUUGAGGCCAGCAUCGGUUUCUGUCGAGGGAUAAAAGCUUUAGGAAUGUGGCUCCUUUCGGGGAGUGUUAUAGCCUGUUGCAUAAUACCUUGACGGGGACCGAGGUUCGCGCAUUGCAAGGAUGCUGGCGUAAUGGUUAUUAAUCACCCGUCUUGAAACACGGACCAAGGAGUCGAACAUUUGUGCGAGUGUUUGGGUGUUAAACCCUCACGCGUAAUGAAAGUGAACGGAGGUGAGAGCCUUUAGGGGUGCAUCAUCGACCGAUCCUGAUGUCUUCGGAUGGAUUUGAGUAAGAGCAUAACUGUUCGGACCCGAAAGAUGGUGAACUAUGCGUGGAUAGGGUGAAGCCAGAGGAAACUCUGGUGGAGGCUCGCAGCGGUUCUGACGUGCAAAUCGAUCGUCAAAUCUG
rnacentral:rRNA from 1 species